rnacentral:rRNA from 1 species
GAUGAACGCUGGCGGCGUGCCUAAUACAUGCAAGUCGAGCGAACAGAUGAGGAGCUUGCUCCUCUGACGUUAGUGGCGGACGGGUGAGUAACACGUGGAUAACCUACCUAUAAGACUGGGAUAACUUCGGGAAACCGGAGCUAAUACCGGAUAAUAUAUUGAACCGCAUGGUUCAAUAGUGAAAGACGGUUUUGCUGUCACUUAUAGAUGGAUCCGCGCCGCAUUAGCUAGUUGGUAAGGUAACGGCUUACCAAGGCAACGAAGCGUAGCCGACCUGAGAGGGUGAUCGGCCACACUGGAACUGAGACACGGUCCAGACUCCUACGGGAGGCAGCAGUAGGGAAUCUUCCGCAAUGGGCGAAAGCCUGACGGAGCAACGCCGCGUGAGUGAUGAAGGUCUUCGGAUCGUAAAACUCUGUUAUUAGGGAAGAACAAAUGUGUAAGUAACUAUGCACGUCUUGACGGUACCUAAUCAGAAAGCCACGGCUAACUACGUG